rnacentral:rRNA from 1 species
GCAACGCCGCGUGAGGGAUGACGGCCUUCGGGUUGUAAACCUCUUUUAGUAGGGAAGAAGGGCUUCGGCUUGACGGUACCUGCAGAAAAAGCACCGGCUAACUACGUGCCAGCAGCCGCGGUAAUACGUAGGGUGCGAGCGUUGUCCGGAAUUAUUGGGCGUAAAGAGCUCGUAGGCGGUUUGUCACGUCUGCUGUGAAAUCCCGAGGCUCAACCUCGGGCCUGCAGUGGGUACGGGCAGACUGGAGUGCGGUAGGGGAGAAUGGAAUUCCUGGUGUAGCGGUGGAAUGCGCAGAUAUCAGGAGGAACACCGAUGGCGAAGGCAGUUCUCUGGGCCGUAACUGACGCUGAGGAGCGAAAGCGUGGGGAGCGAACAGGAUUAGAUACCCUGGUAGUCCACGCCGUAAACGUUGGGCGCUAGAUGUGGGGACCUUUCCACGGUUUCCGUGUCGUAGCUAACGCAUUAAGCGCCCCGCCUGGGGAGUACGGCCGCAAGGCUAAAACUCAAAGGAAUUGACGGGGGCCCGCACAAGCGGCGGAGCAUGCGGAUUAAUUCGAUGCAACGCGAAGAACCUUACCAAGGCUUGACAUAACCGAGAACGCCGCAGAAAUGUGGAACUCUU